GGACCGCUAGCUCAGUGGUAGAGCAACCGGCUGCAGCGUUCCAUUCCCCUCGCCUCGGCGAUUCGGUGGAGCAAGUGGUUCCGGUAGGUCUCGUGUUCAACUCACGAGCGGUCCU